rnacentral:misc_RNA from 1 species
GAUGAAGAACGUAGCGAAAUGCGAUUAGUAAUGUGAAUUGCAGAAUUCAGUGAAUCAUCGAAUCUUUGAACGCACAUUGCGCCCGCCAGUAUUCUGGCGGGCAUGCCUGUCCGAGCGUCAUUUCAACCCUCGAACCCCUCCGGGGGGUCGGCGUUGGGGAUCGGCCCCUCACCGGGCCGCCCCCGAAAUCCAGUGGCGGUCUCGCCGCAGCCUCUCCUGCGCAGUAGUUUGCACACUCGCACCGGGAGCGCGGCGCGGCCACAGCCGUAAAACACCCCAAACUCUGAAAUGUUGACCUCGGAUCAGGUAGGAAUACCCGCUGAACUUAAGCAUAUCAAUAAGCGGAGGA